GACCACCCACCUUCCUCAUCACAGCAGGUUUGUAAUUUGUGUAACGAUUAGUUGCAUUUAAUUGUGGUAAGAUAUCAAGUAUAGCCUAUAGGCCUAUAGUAGAUAGAUCAGAAGGGGACUUAGGUUGUCAUUGUUAUUAGAGGACAACAGUUGUUGCAGCGUACUGCGCCAGUUUUUUUCUGUUUUUUUUCUAGAGUCGGCUGGUCAUUCACCAGGCCUACCAUUGGAGCAGGACUACAGUUGGUGCAGAAAGGGUUCCAGUUCUGCCCUCUACAGUUCGGUAGAGGCGUGGUACAGGGCAGUUCAGGAGUUAUUGGAGAAGGACUACAUUUGGUGCAGAAAGAGUGUUCCAGUUCUGCCCUCAAAAGUUCGGUAGAGGCGUGGUUACAGUGAUAACAUCAUGCCACGCCGAGGGAAGAGAUCUGAGGCUGCAAAGCAACGCUGGGCUAAGUUGGACCUUUCAGACCCUCGGUUUCAGAGUCCAGAACUACAAAGUAGCGUUGCAGUCAUGGAGGUAUG